ACAUAGCCCCGAUAGCAACGGCAUCCUUUUUCUUUUAGGUUGCAUUGGUCCGAGCUGUGGCAACCUGAAAGAAAAAGAUAUAGUGGAUAGCGGGUUGGAAU
rnacentral:sRNA from 1 species